UACAUUAUCACAGGUAAAGAGGAGUC
rnacentral:piRNA from 1 species